ACAUAGAAAACAUGUUUAAUUAAGGUUCAUGUCCCUUGAAUUUGACACUGGAUACGUUAGUAUUUUUCUAUUAUUAUUUUUGCAAUUUUAAAAGGGCAUCUGCAUUUAUUAACACCAUUCAACUGCUAAUUAACAAACACCAUUUUUCUUUUGCCACUUUCAGACAAUACCUGAUAAUCCUUCUCUACAAGACUGUUUUUAAGUUUUUACAUUUCUACAAUGUUAUUGUUUAAAAU